AACGAACGCUGGCGGCAGGCUUAACACAUGCAAGUCGAGCGCCCCGCAAGGGGAGCGGCAGACGGGUGAGUACCGCGUGGGAACGUACCUUUUGGUUCGGAACAACUCCGGGAAACUGGAGCUAAUACCGGAUAAGCCCUAACGGGGAAAGAUUUAUCGCCGAAAGAUCGGCCCGCGUCUGAUUAGCUAGUUGGUGAGGUAACGGCUCACCAAGGCGACGAUCAGUAGCUGGUCUGAGAGGAUGAUCAGCCACACUGGGACUGAGACACGGCCCAGACCCCUACGGGAGGCAGCAGUGGGGAAUAUUGGACAAUGGGCGCAAGCCUGAUCCAGCCAUGCCGCGUGAGUGAUGAAGGCCUUAGGGUUGUAAAGCUCUUUUGUCCGGGAAGAUAAUGACUGUACCGGAAGAAUAAGCCCCGGCUAACUUCGUG
rnacentral:rRNA from 1 species